rnacentral:rRNA from 1 species
AGCAGUCGCCGCGGUAAUACGGAGGAUCCAAGCGUUAUCCGGAAUCAUUGGGUUUAAAGGGUCCGUAGGCGGUCUUGUAAGUCAGUGGUGAAAGCCCAUCGCUCAACGGUGGAACGGCCAUUGAUACUGCAGGACUUGAAUUAUUGGGAAGUAACUAGAAUAUGUAGUGUAGCGGUGAAAUGCUUAGAGAUUACAUGGAAUACCAAUUGCGAAGGCAGGUUACUACCAAUUGAUUGACGCUGAUGGACGAAAGCGUGGGUAGCGAACAGGAUUAGAUACCCCGGUAGUCCCUGUCUCUUAUAC